GACGAACGCUGGCGGCGUGCCUAACACAUGCAAGUCGAACGAAGCUCGGACCUUGGAGAUUCGUCGAAAAGGGAAGAUGACUUAGUGGCGGACGGGUGAGUAAUACAUGAGCAACCUGCCCUGGAGUGGGGGACAACAGCUGGAAACGGCUGCUAAUACCGCAUGAAGUGUUUGGAAGACAUCUUCCGAACACCAAAGAUUUUAUCGCUCUGGGAUGGGCUCAUGUCUGAUUAGCUAGUUGGUGAGGUAACGGCUCACCAAGGCUGCGAUCAGUAGCCGGACUGAGAGGUUGAACGGCCACAUUGGGACUGAGAUACGGCCCAGACUCCUACGGGAGGCAGCAGUGGGGAAUAUUGGGCAAUGGGCGAAAGCCUGACCCAGCAACGCCGCGUGAAGGAAGAAGGCUUUCGGGUUGUAAACUUCUUUUAUGAGGGACGAAGGACGUGACGGUACCUCAUGAAUAAGCCACGGCUAACUACGUG
rnacentral:rRNA from 1 species